rfam:Streptobacillus moniliformis DSM 12112, complete genome.
CCAUACAAGUCGGGGAUGUAGCGGGUCCUUGUACCUGAAAUCCGCUUUAGCAGGGAUGAUACCAAUUUUGAGGGUAAUUCUGGUGUUCACGCCAUGCUGUAUUGAUGUUGAGAAAGUAGUCCUAUAUUGUAGAAAUUCAGCGAAACAUGUCAGGCUGGGAACGGAGCAGCAUUAAGUUGAGAUUUCUAGGUUUAUGGGGUAGCUAUUUUUGAGUUAAUAUAGUAUGAAACCAAUGUUGGAGUUAUUCGAUUAAUUGGUGUAUGG